AAUUUUCCGUAUUUUCAUUGAGAACAUAAACGCACUGAUCGGAUUUUAGAUGUCUCAUUCCUAAACUUUUCAAUAUACCACUUAGUUUUUCAUUCCACAUUCUGGACGCUUGUUUUAAACCGUACAAUGGUUUAUUUAACCUUAAAACAUGACCAUCUGUAAUAGGUAUACCGGGGGCUCAAUGAAUAUUUCGUCUUCUAGAUUUCCUUUUACUCCAUGAGUUGUUUUCUAAUAAUGAUUUAUAUUCACAUUUAUAUUUCAUCCAAUAUUUCUUUUCAGUACCGUUUACAGCAUCGGAAUAUUUAACUGGAUCUUCGGCAUUACCAUACGUUAAAUACGUUAUAUAGUCAUCCAUUGGCGGGCUGUUGUGAAUAUGGAUUUUCUACGGAAAUAUCAUCCGCACAUUCAAUGGGAUUAGAAUGUUCUUUAAAAUAAAUCCUCACUAAAUUCUCAUCACGUUGUGUAGA